UACAGAGGGGCAAGCGUUGUUCGGAAUUACUGGGCGUAAAGGGCGCGUAGGCGGCCUGUUAAGUCGAACGUGAAAUCCCUGGGCUCAACCCAGGAACUGCGUCCGAUACUGGCAGGCUUGAAUUCGGGAGAGGGAUGCGGAAUUCCAGGUGUAGCGGUGAAAUGCGUAGAUAUCUGGAGGAACACCGGUGGCGAAGGCGGCAUCCUGGACCGACA
rnacentral:rRNA from 1 species